UACAGAGGGGGCAAACGUUGUUCGGAAUUACUGGGCGUAAAGCGCGUGUAGGCGGCCCUGCAAGUCGGGUGUGAAAUCCCUCGGCCCAACCGAGGAACUGCGCCCGAGACUGCUUCUCUUGAGUCCCGGAGAGGAAGAUGGAAUUCCCGGUGUAGCGGUGAAAUGUGUAGAGAUCGGGAGGAACACCGGUGGCGAAGGCGGUCUUCUGGACGGUGACUGACGCUGAGGCGCGAAAGCGUGGGGAGCAAACGGG
rnacentral:rRNA from 1 species